rnacentral:rRNA from 1 species
GACAGAGGGUGCAAACGUUGUUCGGAAUUACUGGGCGUAAAGCGCAUGUAGGCGGUCUAGCAGGUCGGAUGUGAAAAGCCCCUCGGCUCAACCACGGAAGUGCACCCGAAAACUGCGCAGCUGGGAGUCUCGGAGAGGAAAGGUGGAAUGCUUGGUGUAGAGGUGAAAAUUCGUAGAUAUCAAAGCGGAACACCCGGGUGGCGAAAGGCGGGGACUCUGGGGCCCAU